UACAGAGGGGGCAAGCGUUGUUCGGAAUUACUGGGCGUAAAGGGCGCGUAGGCGGCCUGCUAAGUCGAACGUGAAAUCCCCGAGCUCAACUCGGGAACUGCGUCCGAUACUGACAGGCUUGAAUCCGGGAGAGGGAUGCGGAAUUCCAGGUGUAGCGGCGAAAUGCGUAGAUAUCAAGAGGAACACCUGAGGUGAAGACGGGUUGCUGGGCUGAUACUGACGCUGAGGCGCGAAAGCUAGGGUAGCAAACGGG
rnacentral:rRNA from 1 species